UACGUAGGCAGCGAGCGUUGUUCGGAAUUACUGGGCGUAAAGAGUGUGUAGGCGGUGCUCCCAGUCUGUUGUGAAAUCUCCCGGCUUAACUGGGAGGGUGCAGCGGAAACUAGAGUGCUAGAGGGUGGGAGAGGUAAGCGGAAUUCCUGGUGUAGCGGUGAAAUGCGUAGAUAUCAGGAGGAACACCAGUGGCGAAGGCGGCAUCCUGGCCAUGUCCUGACGCUCAGGGGCGAAAGCGUGGGGAGCAAACCGG
rnacentral:rRNA from 1 species